rnacentral:rRNA from 1 species
UACGUAGGGGGCUAGCGUUGUCCGGAUUCAUUGGGCGUAAAGCGCGUGUAGGCGGCCAGGUAGGUCCGAUGUGAAAACUGGAGGCUCAACCUCCAGCUGUCGACGGAAACCGUAUGGCUAGAGUCCGGAAGAGGAGAGUGGAAUUCCUGGUGUAGCGGUGAAAUGCGCAGAUAUCAGGAAGAACACCAAUGGCGAAGGCGGCUCACUGGUCCGGCACUGACGCUGAGGUGCGAAAGCGUGGGGAGCAAACAGG